UCCCCAUGUCCCCAUGUCCCUGUGUCCCCAUGUCCCUGUGUCCCCACAUCCCUGUGUCCCCAUGUCCCUGUGUCCCCACAUCCCUGUGUCUCCACAUCCCUGUGUUCCCAUGUCCCCACAUCCCUGUGUUCCCACGUCCCAUGUCUCAUGUCCCCAUGUCCCUGCAUCCCCAUAUCCUCGUGUCCCCAUGUCCCAUGUCUCACAUCCUUGUGUCCCCAUGUCCCUGUGUCCCCAUGUCCCAUGUCUCACAUCCUCGUAUCCCUGUGUCCCCGUGUCCCUAUGUCCCAUGUCUCACGUCCUCGUAUCCCUGUGUCCCCGUGUCCCUAUGUCCCAUGUCUCACGUCCUUGUAUCCCUGUGUCCCCC
rnacentral:lncRNA from 1 species